rnacentral:rRNA from 1 species
GACGAACGCUGGCGGCGUGCCUAAUACAUGCACGUAGAACGCAGUUGCGAACGGGUUAGUAACUCGUAGGUAACUGCCUCAUAGCGGGGGAUAACUAUUGGAAACGAUAGCUAAUACCGCAUACUGUGAGAUGGACCUGCGUUGUAUUAGCUAGUUGGUGAGGUAAAGUGUCACCAAGGCGACUAUACAUAGCCGACCUGAGAGGGUGAUCGGCAACAUUGGGACUGAGACACGGCCCAGACUGCUACGGGAGGCAGCAGUAGGUAAUCUUCGGAAAUGGACGGAAGUCUGACCGAGCAACGCCGCGUGAGGCAAGAAGGUUUGCGGAUCAGAAAGCGCUGUUGUGAGAGAAGCGGUGACUAUCCAGAAAGGGACGGCUAACUACGUGCCAGCCGCCGCGGUAAUAC